UACGUAGGGUGCGAGCGUUAAUCGGAAUUACUGGGCGUAAAGCGUGCGCAGGCGGUUUUGUAAGCCAGAUGUGAAAUCCCCGGGCUUAACCUGGGAAUGGCAUUUGGGACUGCAAGGCUUGAGUGCGGCAGAGGAGAGUGGAAUUCCCGGUGUAGCAGUGAAAUGCGUAGAGAUCGGGAGGAACAUCAGUUGCGAAGGCGGCUCUCUGGACCAGCACUGACACUGAGGCACGAAAGCGUGGGGAGCAAACAGG
rnacentral:rRNA from 1 species